GAGCUAGAUUCAAUCUGCUCCACAACUGGUGAGUGGUGAGGUGAUGUCACUGGUUGGAGUGCCGGUAAUGUAGAUCCACCAUCUUUUUUGUCAGUGCUGCCAUGUUUAUCAGUACUCGUGUUUCCAAAACAACACCCUAAGCAGGAAGCCAUCAGAGUUGCAGGGACACUACAGUUAAGAUUUAGGGUUUGAGAGAGAUCAAGGGAAAGAAAGAUAUCUGAAUGGAGAGGCAAGUAAAGGUAGGAACGUUCGUUGAAACUUUGAAGAGGGUAGGUUACCAGGUAAAGAUUUUUUUGUGGGAAACCCAUACAAGUAGCCGGUCCAAGUGUCUCCUAAAUAAUUAUGUUAAAAAUAUAACAACUCGC
rnacentral:misc_RNA from 1 species